rnacentral:rRNA from 1 species
UACGUAGGGGCAAGCGUUGUCCGGAUUCAUUGGCGUAAAGAGCGUGUAGGCGGCCAGGUAGGUCGGUUGUGAAACUGGAGGCUCAACCUUCAGAGGUCGACCGAAACCAUCUGGCUAGAGUCCGGGAGAGGAGAGUGGAAUUCCGUGGUGUAGCGGUGAAAUGCGCAGAUAUCAGGAAGAACACCGGUGGCGAAGGCGGCUUGCUGGGCCGUUACCUGACGCUGAGGAGCGAAAGCGUGGGGAGCGAACAGG